rnacentral:hammerhead_ribozyme from 1 species
AUCAAACUGACGAGUCCCAAAUAGGACGAAACACGCGUCUUAGAU